UACGGAGGGUGCAAGCGUUAUUCGGAAUUACUGGGCGUAAAGCGUUCGUAGGCGGUCUGCAAAGUCUGAUGUGAAAUCCCACGACUCAAUCGUGGAAGUGCGUUGGAUACUGGCAGACUAGAGUAUUGGAGGGGAGAAGGGAAUUCCUGGUGUAGAGGUGAAAUUCGUAGAUAUCAGGAGGAACAACGGAGGCGAAGGCGCUUCUCUGGACAAUAACUGACGCUGAGGAACGAAAGUGUGGGGAGCAAACAGG
rnacentral:rRNA from 1 species